UACGUAGGGGGCAAGCGUUGUCCGGAAUUAUUGGGCGUAAAGAGCGUGUAGGCGGUCCGGUAAGUCGGCUGUGAAAGUCCAGGGCUCAACCCUGGGAUGCCGGUCGAUACUGCCGGACUAGAGUUCGGAAGAGGCGAGUGGAAUUCCCGGUGUAGCGGUGAAAUGCGCAGAUAUCGGGAGGAACACCAAUAGCGAAGGCAGCUCGCUGGGACGUUACUGACACUGAGGCGCGAAAGCGUGGGGAGCGAACAGG
rnacentral:rRNA from 1 species